UUCUUCCUUCCCCUGGCCACCUCUCUGCCCACUUGCUUCCUCAGUACCUUGGUCCAGCUCUUCCUGCAACGGCCCAGGAGCUCAGAGCUCCACGUCUGACCUUCUAGUCAUGACCAGGACCAGGGCAGCACUCCUCCUGUUCACAGCCUUAGCAACUUCUCUAGGUUUCAACUUGGACACAGAGGAGCUGACAGCCUUCCGUGUGGACAGCGCUGGGUUUGGAGACAGCGUGGUCCAGUAUGCCAACUCCUGGGUGGUGGUUGGAGCCCCCCAAAAGAUAACAGCUGCCAACCAAACGGGUGGCCUCUACCAGUGUGUCUACAGCACUGGUGCCUGUGAGCCCAUCAGCCUGCAGGUGCCCCCGGAGGCCGUGAACAUGUCCCUGGGCCUGUCCCUGGCGUCUACCACCAGCCCUUCCCAGCUGCUGGCCUGCGGCCCCACCGUGCACCACGCGUGCGGGAGGAACAUGUACCUCACCGGACUCUGCUUCCUCCUGGGCCCCACCCAGCUCACCCAGAGGCUCCCGGUGUCCAGGCAGGAGUGCCCAAGACAGGAGCAGGACAUUGUGUUCCUGAUUGAUGGCUCAGGCAGCAUUUCCUCCCGCAACUUUGCCACGAUGAUGAACUUCGUGAGAGCUGUGAUAAGCCAGUUCCAGAGACCCAGCACCCAGUUUUCCCUGAUGCAGUUCUCCAACAAAUUCCAAACACACUUCACUUUCGAGGAAUUCAGGCGCAGCUCAAACCCCCUCAGCCUGUUGGCUUCUGUUCACCAGCUGCAAGGGUUUACAUACACGGCCACCGCCAUCCAAAAUGUCGUGCACCAAUUGUUCCAUGCCUCAUAUGGGGCCCGUAGGGAUGCCGCCAAAAUUCUCAUUGUCAUCACUGAUGGGAAGAAAGAAGGCGACAGCCUGGAUUAUAAGGAUGUCAUCCCCAUGGCUGAUGCAGCAGGCAUCAUCCGCUAUGCAAUUGGGGUUGGAUUAGCUUUUCAAAACAGAAAUUCUUGGAAAGAAUUAAAUGACAUUGCAUCGAAGCCCUCCCAGGAACACAUAUUUAAAGUGGAGGACUUUGAUGCUCUGAAAGAUAUUCAAAACCAACUGAAGGAGAAGAUCUUUGCCAUUGAGGGUACGGAGACCACAAGCAGUAGCUCCUUCGAAUUGGAGAUGGCACAGGAGGGCUUCAGCGCUGUGUUCACACCUGAUGGCCCCGUUCUGGGGGCUGUGGGGAGCUUCACCUGGUCUGGAGGUGCCUUCCUGUACCCCCCAAAUAUGAGCCCUACCUUCAUCAACAUGUCUCAGGAGAAUGUGGACAUGAGGGACUCUUACCUGGGUUACUCCACCGAGCUGGCCCUCUGGAAAGGGGUGCAGAGCCUGGUCCUGGGGGCCCCCCGCUACCAGCACACCGGGAAGGCUGUCAUCUUCACCCAGGUGUCCAGGCAAUGGAGGAUGAAGGCCGAAGUCACGGGGACUCAGAUUGGCUCCUACUUCGGGGCCUCCCUCUGCUCCGUGGACGUGGACAGCGAUGGCAGCACCGACCUGGUCCUCAUUGGGGCCCCCCAUUACUACGAGCAGACCCGAGGGGGCCAGGUGUCUGUGUGUCCCUUGCCCAGGGGGUGGAGAAGGUGGUGGUGUGAUGCUGUUCUCUACGGGGAGCAGGGCCACCCCUGGGGUCGCUUUGGGGCGGCUCUGACAGUGCUGGGGGAUGUGAAUGGGGACAAGCUGACGGAUGUGGUCAUCGGGGCCCCAGGAGAGGAGGAGAACCGGGGUGCUGUCUACCUGUUUCACGGAGUCUUGGGACCCAGCAUCAGGCCCUCCCACAGCCAGCGGAUCGCGGGCUCCCAGCUCUCCUCCAGGCUGCAGUAUUUUGGGCAGGCGCUGAGCGGGGGUCAAGACCUCACCCAGGAUGGACUGGUGGACCUGGCUGUGGGGGCCCGAGGCCAGGUGCUCCUGCUCAGGACCAGACCUGUGCUCUGGGUGGGGGUGAGCAUGCAGUUCAUACCUGCCGAGAUCCCCAGGUCUGCGUUUGAGUGUCGGGAGCAGGUGGUCUCUGAGCAGACCCUGGUACAGUCCAACAUCUGCCUUUACAUUGACAAACGUUCUAAGAACCUGCUUGGGAGCCGUGACCUCCAAAGCUCCGUGACCUUGGACCUGGCCCUCGACCCUGGCCGCCUGAGUCCCCGUGCCACCUUCCAGGAAACAAAGAACCGGAGUCUGAGCCGAGUCCGAGUCCUCGGGCUGAAGGCACACUGUGAAAACUUCAACCUGCUGCUCCCGAGCUGCGUGGAGGACUCUGUGACCCCCAUUACCUUGCGUCUGAACUUCACGCUGGUGGGCAAGCCCCUCCCUGCCUUCAGAAACCUGCGGCCUAUGCUGGCCGCCGAUGCUCAGAGAUACUUCACGGCCUCUCUACCCUUUGAGAAGAACUGUGGAGCCGACCAUAUCUGCCAGGACAAUCUCGGCAUCUCCUUCAGCUUCCCAGGCUUGAAGACCCUGCUGGUGGGGAGUAACCUGGAGCUGAACGCAGAAGUGAUGGUGUGGAAUGACGGGGAAGACUCCUACGGAACCACCAUCACCUUCUCCCACCCCGCAGGACUGUCCUACCGCUACGUGGCAGAGGGCCAGAAACAAGGGGAGCUGCGUUCCCUGCACCUGACAUGUGACAGUGCCCCAGUUGGGAGCCAGGGCACCUGGAGCACCAGCUGCAGAAUCAACCACCUCAUCUUCCGUGGCGGCGCCCAGAUCACCUUCUUGGCUACCUUUGACGUCUCCCCCAAGGCUGUCCUGGGAGACCGGCUGCUUCUGACAGCCAAUGUGAGCAGUGAGAACAACACUCCCAGGACCAGCAAGACCACCUUCCAGCUGGAGCUCCCGGUGAAGUAUGCCGUCUACACUGUGGUUAGCAGGUCAGCAGCCACGAACAAUUCACCAAAUACCUCAACUUCUCAGAGUCUGAGGAGAAGGAAAGCCAUGUGGCCAUGCACAGAUACCAGGUCAAUAACCUGGGACAGAGGGACCUGCCUGUCAGCAUCAACUUCUGGGUGCCUGUGGAGCUGAACCAGGAGGCUGUGUGGAUGGAUGUGGAGGUCUCCCACCCUCAGAACCCAUCCCUUCGGUGCUCCUCAGAGAAAAUCGCACCCCCAGCAUCUGACUUCCUGGCGCACAUUCAGAAGAAUCCUGUGCUGGACUGCUCCAUUGCUGGCUGCCUGCGGUUCCGCUGUGACGUCCCCUCCUUCAGCGUCCAGGAGGAGCUGGAUUUCACCCUGAAGGGCAACCUCAGCUUUGGCUGGGUCCGCCAGACAUUGCAGAAGAAGGUGUCGGUCGUGAGUGUGGCUGAAAUUACGUUCGACACAUCCGUGUACUCCCAGCUUCCAGGACAGGAGGCAUUUAUGAGAGCUCAGACGACAACGGUGCUGGAGAAGUACAAGGUCCACAACCCCACCCCCCUCAUCGUAGGCAGCUCCAUUGGGGGUCUGUUGCUGCUGGCACUCAUCACAGCGGUACUGUACAAAGUUGGCUUCUUCAAGCGUCAGUACAAGGAAAUGAUGGAGGAGGCAAAUGGACAAAUUGCCCCAGAAAACGGGACACAGACCCCCAGCCCGCCCAGUGAGAAAUGAUCCCCUCUUUGCCUUGGACUUCUUCUCCCCGGCGAGUUUUCCCCACUUACUUACCCUCACCUGUCAGGCCUGACGGGGAGGAACCACUGCACCACUGAGAGAGGCUGGGAUGAGCCUGCUUCCUGUCUUUGGGAGAAAACGUCUUGCUUGGGAAGGGGCCUUUGUCUUGUCAAGGUUCCAACUGGAAACCCUUAGGACAGGGUCCCUGCUGUGUUCCCCACAGGACUUGACUUGCAAUUUCUACCUAGAAAUACAUGGACAAUACCCCCAGGCCUCAGUCUCCCUUCUCCCGUGAGGCACGAAUGAUCUUUCUUUUCUUUCUUUUUUUUUUUUUUUUUGAGACGGAGUCUCGCUCUGUCACCCAGGCUGGAGUGCAAUGGUGUGAUCUCGGCUCACUGCAACCUCCGCCUCCUGGGUUCAAGUAAUUCUGCUGUCUCAGCCUCCUGAGUAGCUGGGACUACAGGCACACGCCACCUCGCCCGGCCCGAUCUUUCUAAAAUACAGUUCUGAAUAUGCUGCUCAUCCCCACCUGUCUUCAACAGCUCCCCAUUACCCUCAGGACAAUGUCUGAACUCUCCAGCUUUGCGUGAGAAGUCCCCUUCCAUCCCAGAGGGUGGGCUUCAGGGCACACAGCAUGAGAGGCUCUGUGCCCCCAUCACCCUCGUUUCCAGUGAAUUAGUGUCAUGUCAGCAUCAGCUCAGGGCUUCAUCGUGGGGCUCUCAGUUCCGAUUUCCCAGGCUGAAUUGGGAGUGAGAUGCCUGCAUGCUGGGUUCUGCACAGUUGGCCUCCCGCGUUGGGCAACAUUGCUGGCUGGAAGGGAGGAGCGCCCUCUAGGGAGGGACACGGCCCCGGUGCGGCUCCAGCUCACCCAGCCCCAGGGGCAGAAGAGACCCAACCACUUCUAUUUUUUGAGGCUAUGAAUAUAGUACCUGAAAAAAUGCCAAGACAUGAUUAUUUUUUUAAAAAGCGUACUUUAAAUGUUUGUGUUAAUAAAUUAAAACAUGCACAAAAAGAUG